AGCAGGGGCCCGCCCGAAGCAACUUUUUCAGUUGCUCCGUCUUCCUCCCGGGAGCCGCCGUGCACCUGCUCGGAGCUCCGGUCCCCACCCGGGCGGGGCCCAAAGCCUACGUGCGCUGAGUCUUAACUCGCCGGUGCCCACCGUGUCCAGCCCACCGCAGUCUCUCUCCUCCAAACUGCUGUGGCACUUCCAGGGUAAGGAAGGAUGAAUAGAUGACUGGUAAAUGGGCAAAGGUUUAGAAUAAGAAGAAAAGGGGAUCCCUGGGUGGCGCAGUGGU